rnacentral:rRNA from 1 species
UACAGAGGGUGCAAGCGUUGCUCGGAAUCAUUGGGCGUAAAGGGUAGGUAGGUGGUCUCAUUUGUCUGGGGUGAAAGCCUUGAGCUUAACUCAAGAAGUGCCCCGGAAACGGUGAGACUGGAGUCCUAGAGAGGCUAGCGGAAUUCCCGGUGUAGCGGUGAAAUGCGUAGAGAUCGGAAGAACACCAGUGGCGAAGGCGGCUCACUGGUCCGGUACUGACGCUGAGGUGCGAAAGCGUGGGGAGCAAACAGG